GCGACUUAUAAAUAGCAAUUGACGAAUGAUCUAUAAACCGUCCCUAACGAGCGAUCGACUCAUGUUUUAGCAUGAUAAAUCACUUUUGAUUAACGAAUGCGACUGAUAAUCGAAUUGAAGAACAAAUUCGCAAUAUAUAAAUGCGACUCAGAAAUCAAUUAGCAACUGAGUAAUGCAACCUACAAAUCGUAAUCUGAAGUUGUAAUGGCAUUUGUAACUCGCUCUUACUGAAGUACAAAUACAAGCUAAAUAUAGCAGGCGCUUUUCCCGUUCUUUUCGUCUCCGAGCUUCGUGGUACUCAAAUGUUUCUAUUCUCAGGAAGUUCAACCAAGAAGAAGUUACAUUAUGGUGAAAAAGAACAUAAGAAAAUGCAACAGAUUUCUAUAUUAGCUUUGGCAAUUCUGAUCUUCCUUUUCAUCAACAUUGUUGAAGGCACUAGUAAACAAGAUUCAGUCAUGUCAUGAUAGAAAGGAAAAGAUAUGCAAACCAAUCUUUACAGCUGUUAUAUUCUUCUUGGUAUGUGUUUUCAUUUGCAUUAUUUAUUUUGGGAUUAAAACAACUUAUGCUUAUAUAUGAGAGCAACUUUGGAAGCUAGAAAAGGUGUUGGGCUAGCUUUUAUUACUAUAUUCAAAUAUGAUGCAGGGAUGGUCUUUUUCUCACCGUCUAUCCAUUCUUUGAUGGAUUGCACUGCCAUUGGUUUCUAAAAUCAUUACUCUGGUGACUCAGACGUGUGAGGAGGAGAAGCACAGAGAUGCCUCAGUCAGGAGGCCUGACAGAUUGGUCUUGGUGGGUAUGAGGAGAGGUAGAGGUAGACCAAAGAAGUAUUGGGAAAAUGUGAUUAGGCAAGAUAUGACACAACUUGAGCUUACCGAGGACAUAAUCCUUGAUAGGAGGAUGUGGACGUCGAGAAUUAGAGUAGAAAGUUAGUAGGUAGUCGAGCAUUUUACUUUUUCCUUCCCGUAGUUUUAGUUUUAGUUUUAGUAUUGUAUCUUUUUAUUCUCAUAUUGCGAUCACUACCUACUGUUUGAUUGCUA